GACAGAGGUCCCGAGCGUUAGGCGGAAUCACUGGGCUUAAAGCGUGUGUAGGCGGAUCUGUAAGUACCUUGUGAAAUCCCACGGCUUAACCGUGGAACUGCUCGGUAUACUGCGGGUCUUGAGCCACCUAGGGGCAACCGGAACAAGUGGUGGAGCGGUGAAAUGCGUAGAUAUCACUUGGAACGCCAAUGGAGAAAUCAGGUUGCUGGGGGUGUGCUGACGCUGAGACACGAAAGCCAGGGGAGCGAACGGG
rnacentral:rRNA from 1 species